rnacentral:rRNA from 1 species
CCCUUAGAUGUCCGGGGCCGCACGCGCGCUACGCUGAAGGAAUCAGCGUGGCUUUCUCCCUGACCCGAAAGGGUUGGGAAACCCGUUGAAUCUCCUUCGUGAUAGGGAUUGGGGCUUGAAAUUGUUCCCCAUGAAUGAGGAAUUCCCAGUAAGCGCGAGUCAUAAGCUCGCGUUGAUUACGUCCCUGCCCUUUGUACACACCGCCCGUCGCACCUACCGAUUGGAUGGUCCGGUGAAGCCUCGGGAUUGUGGUUCUUGCCGCUUUAUUGUGGCGUGACCGCGAGAACUUGUCUAAACCUUAUCAUCUAGAGGAAGGUGAAGUCGUAACA